rnacentral:rRNA from 1 species
UACGUAGGGGGCGAGCGUUGUCCGGAUUUCUUGGGCGUAAAGAGCGUGUAGGCGGCCAGGUAGGUCCGUUGUGAAAACUCGAGGCUCAACCUCGAGACGUCGGCGGAAACCCUCUGGCUAGAGUCCGGAAGAGGAGAGUGGAAUUCCUGGUGUAGCGGUGAAAUGCGCAGAUAUCAGGAAGAACACCCGUGGCGAAGGCGGCUCUCUGGGACGGUACUGACGCUGAGACGCGAAAGCGUGGGGAGCAAACAGG